UAACUUCUGGAAACGGAUGCUAAUACCGCAUAUACCCUGAGGGGGAAAGAUUUAUCGCUUUAAGAUUGGCCCAUGGCAGAUUAGGUAGUUGGUGGGGUAAAGGCCUACCAAGCCGACGAUCUGUAGCUGGUCUGAGAGGACGAUCAGCCACAUUGGGACUGAGACACGGCCCAGACUCCUACGGGAGGCAGCAGUGAGGAAUAUUGGGCAAUGGGGGCAACCCUGACCCAGCCAUGCCGCGUGAGUGAAGAAGGUUUUCGAAUUGUAAAGCUCUUUCGGAUGUGACGAUGAUGACGGUAGCAUCUAAAGAAGCCCCGGCAAACUUCGUGCCAGCAGCCGCGGUAAUACGAAGGGGGCGAGCGUUGUUCGGAAUUACUGGGCGUAAAGGGUGUGUAGGUGGACGUGUAAGAUAGCGGUGAAAUGCCGGAGCUCAACUUCGGAAUUGCCAUUAUAACUAUGCGUCUAGAAUUAUAGAGAGGAUAGCGGAAUACCCAGUGUAGAGGUGAAAUUCGUAGAUAUUGGGUAGAACACCAGUGGCGAAGGCGGCUAUCUGGCUAUAUAUUGACACUGAGGCACGAAAGCAUGGGGAUCAAACAGGAUUAGAUACCCUGGUAGUCCAUGCUGUAAACGAUGAAUGCUGGUUAUCGGACGAAUGUUCGGUGACGAAGUUAACGCGAUAAGCAUUCCGCCUGGGGAC
rnacentral:rRNA from 1 species